UACAGAGGGUGCAAGCGUUAAUCGGAAUUACUGGGCGUAAAGCGAGCGUAGUCGGUUAUUUAAGUCGGGUGUGAAAGCCCCGGGCUCAACCUGGGAAUUGCAUUCGAUACUGGAUAGCUAGAGUUCGGCAGAGGGAAGCGGAAUUUCCGGUGUAGCGGUGAAAUGCGUAGAUAUCGGGAGGAACACCAGUGGCGAAGGCGACUACCUGGCCUGUUCUUGACGCUGAGGCGCGAAAGCUAGGGGAGCAAACGGG
rnacentral:rRNA from 1 species